UACGAGGGGGGCGAGCGUUGUUCGGAAUUAUUGGGCGUAAAGGGUGCGUAGGCGGUUUGGUAAGUCUUGUGUGAAAUCUCCAGGCUCAACUUGGAGUCUGCACGAGAAACUGCCGGGCUUGAGUGUGGGAGAGGUGAGUGGAAUUCCUGGUGUAGCGGUGAAAUGCGUAGAUAUCAGGAGGAACACCUGUGGCGAAAGCGGCGCACUGAACCACAACUGACGCUGAGGCGCGAAAGCUAGGGGAGCAAACAGG
rnacentral:rRNA from 1 species